rnacentral:tRNA from 1 species
GCCUUCGUGGUGUAAUAGUAGCACACUCGGAUCGUAUUCAAGAGGUCCGAGCUUCGAGUCUCGGCGAGGGUA